rnacentral:rRNA from 1 species
GAUGAACGCUGGCGGCGUGCCUAAUACAUGCAAGUCGAGCGAACAGACGAGGAGCUUGCUCCUCUGCCGUUAGCGGCGGACGGGUGAGUAACACGUGGAUCACCUACCUAUAAGACUGGGAUAACUUCGGGAAACCGGAGCUAAUACCGGAUAAUAUAUUGAACCGCAUGGUUCAAUAGUGAAUGACGGUUUUGCUGUCUCUAAUAGAUGGAUCCGCGCCGCAUUAGCUAGUUGGUAAGGUAACGGCUUACCAAGGCAACGAUGCGUAGCCGACCUGAGAGGGGGAUCGGCCACACUGGAACUGAGACACGGUCCAGACUCCUACGGGAGGCAGCAGUAGGGAAUCUUGCGCAAUGGGCGAAAGCCUGACGGAGCAACGCCGCGUGAGUGAUGAAGGCCUUCGGAUCGUAAAACUCUGUUAUUAGGGAAGAACAAAUGUGUAAGUAACUAUGCACGUCUUGACGGUACCUAAUCAGAAAGCCACGGCUAACUACGUG